rnacentral:rRNA from 1 species
UUUAAUGAGAGUUUGAUCCUGGCUCAGGACGAACGCUGGCGGCGUGCCUAAUACAUGCAAGUAGAACGCUGAAGGAGGAGCUUGCUUCUCUGGAUGAGUUGCGAACGGGUGAGUAACGCGUAGGUAACCUGCCUGGUAGCGGGGGAUAACUAUUGGAAACGAUAGCUAAUACCGCAUAAGAGUGGAUGUUGCAUGACAUUUGCUUAAAAGGUGCACUUGCAUCACUACCAGAUGGACCUGCGUUGUAUUAGCUAGUUGGUGGGGUAAGGGCUCACCAAGGCGACGAUACAUAGCCGACCUGAGAGGGUGAUCGGCCACACUGGGACUGAGACACGGCCCAGACUCCUACGGGAGGCAGCAGUAGGGAAUCUUCGGCAAUGGACGGAAGUCUGACCGAGCAACGCCGCGUGAGUGAAGAAGGUUUUCGGAUCGUAAAGCUCUGUUGUAAGAGAAGAACGAGUGUGAGAGUGGAAAGUUCACACUGUGACGGUAUCUUACCAGAAAGGGACGGCUAACUACGUGCCAGCAGCCGCGGUAAUACGUAGGUCCCGAGCGUUGUCCGGAUUUAUUGGGCGUAAAGCGAGCGCAGGCGGUUAGAUAAGUCUGAAGUUAAAGGCUGUGGCUUAACCAUAGUAGGCUUUGGAAACUGUUUAACUUGAGUGCAAGAGGGGAGAGUGGAAUUCCAUGUGUAGCGGUGAAAUGCGUAGAUAUAUGGAGGAACACCGGUGGCGAAAGCGGCUCUCUGGCUUGUAACUGACGCUGAGGCUCGAAAGCGUGGGGAGCAAACAGGAUUAGAUACCCUGGUAGUCCACGCUGUAAACGAUGAGUGCUAGGUGUUAGACCCUUUCCGGGGUUUAGUGCCGUAGCUAACGCAUUAAGCACUCCGCCUGGGGAGUACGACCGCAAGGUUGAAACUCAAAGGAAUUGACGGGGGCCCGCACAAGCGGUGGAGCAUGUGGUUAAUCGAAGCAACGCGAAGAACCUUACCAGGUCUUGACAUCCCUCUGACCGCUCUAGAGAUAGAGUUUUCCUUCGGGACAGAGGUGACAGGUGGUGCAUGGUUGUCGUCAGCUCGUGUCGUGAGAUGUUGGGUUAAGUCCCGCAACGAGCGCAACCCCUAUUGUUAGUUGCCAUCAUUUAGUUGGGCACUCUAGCGAGACUGCCGGUAAUAAACCGGAGGAAGGUGGGGAUGACGUCAAAUCAUCAUGCCCCUUAUGACCUGGGCUACACACGUGCUACAAUGGCUGGUACAACGAGUCGCAAGCCGGUGACGGCAAGCUAAUCUCUUAAAGCCAGUCUCAGUUCGGAUUGUAGGCUGCAACUCGCCUACAUGAAGUCGGAAUCGCUAGUAAUCGCGGAUCAGCACGCCGCGGUGAAUACGUUCCCGGGCCUUGUACACACCGCCCGUCACACCACGAGAGUUUGUAACACCCGAAGUCGGUGAGGUAACCGUAAGGAGCCAGCCGCCUAAGGUGGGAUAGAUGAUUGGGGUGAAGUCGUAACAAGGUAGCCGUAUCGGAAGGUGCGGCUGGAUCACCUCCUUU